AAAAAAAAAAAAAAGUAGUUAGCAGCAUCCGUAACAGCAUUAGCCACAACUGUAUACAUAUUCAAUUAUCAGCAUUACAUAUUUUUAGAGGAAAGAAGGUAUAUGCAAGGAUAGAUGAUCUAAGAGUCCAAACCCCAUCACCAAAAAAGACGCCACAAAGACACGGAUGAUCUGCAUGAGUUCCAAUAACCCUUUCAAUUAGGGUUUUCUUCCUAGAUACAGAUUGAGUGUUGAAAAGUUUUUGGGGUUGGGGGGUUUAGAAAAAAUAAAGAAACAAGAUAAAGAUAAUAAACUUGGAAACAGCUAACAUGAAAAUUAAUAUCAGUGAAAUCCCUUAUCAAUAUAACAUUUCGCCAUGAUGGUAUAAAAGACGAGAAUUUUUCCAUUGAAAUUUAUAAGGAAGAGAAGAAAGAAAACAAUUAUCUAGUUAAGUUAUAUGUCACCAAAUCUUUGAAAUAUUAUAGACACCAAUUGAUAGUUAACUUAUCUUAAAAAUACAUUGGUAUCUUAAAUGUACAAAAGAUCACACAAAGAUACAGAAUUUAUACAUGAAUAAUGAAUUCAAGGAAAUAAAGGAGAUAUAAGAAUGAAAUCCGCACCAUCCGGUCAUGAACUUUUUUGAA
rnacentral:misc_RNA from 1 species